CUGGAGUUCAAGAAGCAUCUGGACAACGUUCUCAGUCUGAUGAGAGCAUUCAGGUAACACCACUGACCACAGCAAAAGUUGCACAGCACAGCCAACAGGAAAGAGGAAGACAAACAAUGUGAAUCAACACAGAAUGCUGGUCAGAAUGCAGAAGAUACAUUGCCAUGAACUGCUCAUGCUAGAAAUAUUGAGUGAAAAAUGGGAAUUUGCCAGAAAGCAACAUUAAAAAUAAAGUCCGACCCCAUUCUGCCUGACCAGAACACAGCACUAGGAGUUGUGCUGCCCAUUCUCAGUAAGUGACAAACAAAAUAAAGAUUGGUAUGAAUGAUGAAAAGAAGGAAAGCUCCACGAAAAGAUAUCAGGAGAAGACUCCAGGGACAUCUGAUCAAGCCAUCUCAGAACAGGACCACAGGAAUGGAGGUUACAAGGCAGACUUAUCCAUGAGCUAUUUGACCCAGCCACACCAACUGCAUUUUAAAGAGGGAUGAUGAGG
ensembl:lncRNA